rnacentral:rRNA from 1 species
GAGUUUGAUCCUGGCUCAGGACGAACGCUGGCGGCGUGCUUAACACAUGCAAGUCGAACGGUGACCUCGGAGCUUGCUCCGGGUGAUCAGUGGCGAACGGGUGAGUAACACGUGAGUAACCUGCCCCCUACUCUGGGAUAACUCCGGGAAACCGGUGCUAAUACUGGAUACGACCAGAGCGGGCAUCCGCAUCUGGUGGAAAGAUUUAUCGGUGGGGGAUGGACUCGCGGCCUAUCAGCUUGUUGGUGGGGUAAUGGCCUACCAAGGCGACGACGGGUAGCCGGCCUGAGAGGGCGACCGGCCACACUGGGACUGAGACACGGCCCAGACUCCUACGGGAGGCAGCAGUGGGGAAUAUUGCACAAUGGGCGAAAGCCUGAUGCAGCGACGCCGCGUGAGGGAUGACGGCCUUCGGGUUGUAAACCUCUUUCAGCAGGGAAGAAGCUUUUGUGACGGUACCUGCAGAAGAAGCACCGGCUAACUACGUGCCAGCAGCCGCGGUAAUACGUAGGGUGCGAGCGUUGUCCGGAAUUAUUGGGCGUAAAGAGCUUGUAGGCGGUUUGUCGCGUUUGCUGUGAAAACUCGAGGCUUAACCUCGAGCCUGCAGUGGGUACGGGCAGACUAGAGUAUGGUAGGGGAGACUGGAAUUCCUGGUGUAGCGGUGGAAUGCGCAGAUAUCAGGAGGAACACCGAUGGCGAAGGCAGGUCUCUGGGCCAUAACUGACGCUGAGAAGCGAAAGCAUGGGUAGCGAACAGGAUUAGAUACCCUGGUAGUCCAUGCCGUAAACGUUGGGCGCUAGGUGUGGGGCUCAUUCCACGAGUUCCGUGCCGCAGCUAACGCAUUAAGCGCCCCGCCUGGGGAGUACGGCCGCAAGGCUAAAACUCAAAGGAAUUGACGGGGGCCCGCACAAGCGGCGGAGCAUGCGGAUUAAUUCGAUGCAACGCGAAGAACCUUACCAAGGCUUGACAUAUACCGGAAACAUCUAGAGAUAGGUGCCCCGCAAGGUCGGUAUACAGGUGGUGCAUGGUUGUCGUCAGCUCGUGUCGUGAGAUGUUGGGUUAAGUCCCGCAACGAGCGCAACCCUCGUUCUAUGUUGCCAGCGCGUUAUGGCGGGGACUCAUAGGAGACUGCCGGGGUCAACUCGGAGGAAGGUGGGGAUGACGUCAAAUCAUCAUGCCCCUUACGUCUUGGGCUUCACGCAUGCUACAAUGGCCGGUACAAAGGGCUGCGAUACCGCGAGGUGGAGCGAAUCCCAAAAAACCGGUCACAGUUCGGAUUGGGGUCUGCAACUCGACCCCAUGAAGUCGGAGUCGCUAGUAAUCGCAGAUCAGCAACGCUGCGAUGAAUACGUGCCCGGGCCUUGACACACCGCCCGUCAAGUACGAUUCGCGGCCGCUAAUUCAUCGCCCCUAUAGGAGUCAUAUCGGG